rnacentral:rRNA from 1 species
UACAGAGGGUGCAAGCGUUGUUCGGAAUUAUUGGGCGUAAAGCGCGUGUAGGCGGUUUCGAAAGUCGGGUGUGAAAGCCCUCAGCUCAACUGAGGAAGUGCGCCCGAAACUGCGGAGCUUGAGUACCGGAGAGGAUGGCGGAAUUCCCCAAGUAGAGGUGAAAUUCGUAGAUAUGGGGAGGAACACCGGUGGCGAAGGCGGCCAUCUGGACGGAUACUGACGCUGAGACGCGAAAGCGUGGGUAGCAAACAGG